rnacentral:tRNA from 1 species
GGCCUUAUAGCCUAGCGGGCAGAGCUCUCACGGUCCUAAAGCGAGGGUGGUAACCACGAGUGGGUUCGAAUCCCACCGGGGCCA